CACUUUUGAUUUAGCACGAUUUCUUGAAUUUAGUAGAAACAGAGGAUUUAGAAAAAUUAGAAAACACUCACAGGAACACGACGAAAACCUGCAUGCCGUGGAGACUGGAGUGGAGCCGGAGUCGCGUGCAGAGGCUACGCUUUACCCGGAGCUGGGGGCCGAUGAUGUGGCCCUGGCGAGUUAGACUGGAGCGGCUCAGACAGCACAGCACCGCUGUUGAAACUGCUGGGGCAGACCGAAGUCCUCGUGGGGUUGUAGCUGGAGCGGACUCAGGCUAGGGCCUGAGGCUGACCGUCGUCCGAGUGUGUGAACCGGUUGGAGCAGGCUCGCGCAGAGGUGCGGAGGCUUACUGUCGUCCAAAAACGUGGUGCGGGCUCGCGCCUUCGGUGGCGGAGUCUUACCGUCGACCAAAAAACUUUAAAACACGGGUGCCACGGGUUCGUGAUCCCUGGGUCUAAAACUUUAGACUU